UGGGGAAUAUUGCACAAUGGGCGCAAGCCUGAUGCAGCCAUGCCGCGUGUAUGAAGAAGGCCUUCGGGUUGUAAAGUACUUUCAGCGGGGAGGAAGGGAGUAAAGUUAAUACCUUUGCUCAUUGACGUUACCCGCAGAAGAAGCACCGGCUAACUCCGUGCCAGCAGCCGCGGUAAUACGGAGGGUGCAAGCGUUAAUCGGAAUUACUGGGCGUAAAGCGCACGCAGGCGGUUUGUUAAGUCAGAUGUGAAAUCCCCGGGCUCAACCUGGGAACUGCAUCUGAUACUGGCAAGCUUGAGUCUCGUAGAGGGGGGUAGAAUUCCAGGUGUAGCGGUGAAAUGCGUAGAGAUCUGGAGGAAUACCGGUGGCGAAGGCGGCCCCCUGGACGAAGACUAACGCUCAGGUGCGAAAGCGUGGGGAGCAAACAGG
rnacentral:rRNA from 1 species